AUACUUACAUGGCACAGAGAUUACCAUGAUCAUCAAGGUGGUUCCUCCAGGGUGAGACUCGACCAUUGCACUACGGUUGGGUUGACCUCUGCGAAUAUCCCUCAUGUGGACCAUUCGUGUGUGCAAUUCUUUUUAUUUGUUUUUUUUUAUGGGAUGGAAAUAG